AAUGAACGCUGGCGGCGUGCUUAACACAUGCGAAGUCGUGCGCGAAGGCGGCUUCGGCUGCCGGAGAGCGGCGAACGGGUGAGUAACACGUGGGGUAAUCUACCUGGGAGUGGGGGAUAACCUGGGGAAACUCGGGCUAAGACCGCAUACGAUGCUGGGACUUCGGGUCCUGUUCUGAAAGCUGGCCUCUGCUUGCAAGCUAGCGCUCCCAGAGGAGCCCGCGGCNGAUUAGCUGGUUGGUGGGGUAAUGGCCUACCAAGGCGACGAUCAGUAGCCGGCCUGAGA
rnacentral:rRNA from 1 species